UACGUAGGGUGCGAGCGUUGUCCGGAAGUAUUGGGCGUAAAGGGCUCGUAGGCGGUUUGUCGCGUCGGGAGUGAAAUCCACUGGCUUAACUGGUGGCUUGCUUUCGAUACGGGCAGACUGGAGGUAUGCAGGGGAGAACGGAAUUCCUGGUGUAGCGGUGAAAUGCGCAGAUAUCAGGAGGAACACCGGUGGCGAAGGCGGUUCUCUGGGCAUGUCCUGACGCUGAGGAGCGAAAGUGUGGGGAGCGAACAGG
rnacentral:rRNA from 1 species